rnacentral:rRNA from 1 species
UAGGGAAUCUUCCACAAUGGACGCAAGUCUGAUGGAGCAACGCCGCGUGAGUGAAGAAGGUUUUCGGAUCGUAAAGCUCUGUUGUUGGUGAAGAAGGAUAGAGGCAGUAACUGGUCUUUAUUUGACGGUAAUCAACCAGAAAGUCACGGCUAACUACGUGCCAGCAGCCGCGGUAAUACGUAGGUGGCAAGCGUUGUCCGGAUUUAUUGGGCGUAAAGCGAGCGCAGGCGGAAUGAUAAGUCUGAUGUGAAAGCCCACGGCUCAACCGUGGAACUGCAUCGGAAAAUGUCAUUGUUGAGUGCAGAAGAGGAGAGUGAAAUUCCAUGUGUAGCGGUGGAAUGCGUAGAUAUAUGGAAGAACACCAGUGGCGAAGGCGGCUCUCUGGUCUGCAACUGACGCUGAGGCUCGAAAGCAUGGGUAGCGAACAGG